UUAACCACCCCCCUCCCCCCAAGGCAGAACCCACGAGGCUGAGAUGAACACCACCAAAACAAUGAGACAAGUAUCAGCUGUUUGAAGGAAAAGAUUGUCAACGUGCCAAAUUAUCAAACACCUUCUUAAUUUCAUACAUUCACACAGUCAGAGAGGGAAAUAUAAUGAGAUAAUGACAACAACCACCAUCACACUACCGCCGCCAAGAAGGAAGGCAAGAGUUAGACAUGCCCCUGGCGCCGCCUGCCCUGCCAUCUGCCCUGCCACACGCCCCCUGCAGCCACUACCAGGCCACCUACUGCCAGGGGGCCAUCACUGUUCAGGACCCUAGUCAAGCAGAGGCACUGUGGUAUAAUGGUUGUUUUGGGCACGGGGCAGUGGUGGGUGGAAGAGGAAGGCCAAGAGAGUGGAAGAAGUGGAGGCUGGUGGAAGCAGAGGGUUUGAAGACUCCUAAGUGGUUCAAGGAGACUAGGACAGAGUGGAGAGGAGUGGAGAGAGAGGUGGAGAAUGAGAUGGAGGUGGAUUCGAGUGAAGGAAAG